AUAGAACACUGUUAUUUGCAACAUCUAGAAUUACUGAGUAUAAUUUAACAAAUUUUCCCCCAAACUGUAGAUGUAAUUAAGUGGAUUUGUGUUCUGCAUACCCAUACCUAGACCAUAAGUGUCUCAGUUUUUCCUCAUGAUCUCAGUUAUCUUUCCUGACAUGAACUUCUAUUUUUCCUUCAUGUCUCAAACAGUCUAACACAGUACCCUUAUCUUCCCGGAGGAGGAGCCUACACAAGAGGGAGAACAAUACCAAGCUGAUUUUGAACAUCUUGUGUUGAUGGCCCAGUUGUGCACACUGGUCAGAGACAAGAGAGAACCCUUGAGUUCAUAUUGCUUUUUAAAAUGAUUUUCUCAUGCUGAGCUCUUUAAGUCUCCCAAAGCACAGAUGCCAUUUUUCACAGAAGCUUGUGUACGCUUUGUGACUUGGAAAUUUCUAAACCCCUGACUUCGUGGUUCCUCUUCCCUAUGGAAACAUCUUUGUUGGUGCAUUUCAUGACUCAGGUUUUCUUCGGCAAUGACGAUCAAAAUGAAUAAAAAACAGAGAAGACUUAGUAAAAUAUAAUUAACUGAAAUUAAG